UUCAGUUCCUAUCACGCUUAAUCUCUUUGCACUAUUCAGUACUGAUAGCUACUCCUUCCUUGAAAUUGUCUCCUCUCUUGACAAUCUUCCUAAAUAGCACGCCUUCCUAGUUUUCCAUCUUGUCACUCACACCAUUUAUUUGUUUACCAGGCUCCUGGUAGGAAACAUCAUUUUGGGUAGCGGGCCAGAUCACAUUUCUUUUUUAAUUAAUUAAUUAAUUUAUUUAUUUUGAGAUAGGGUCUGGCUCUGUUGCCCAGGCCUAAGUGCAGUGGCACGAUCACAGUUCACUGCAGCCUUGACCUCCUGGGCCAAGUGAUCCUCCCACCUCAGACCCCUCCUAACUGGGACUACAGGCACGUGCUACCAUGCCUGGCUAAUUUUUGUAGAGAUUGGGUUUUGCCAUGUUGCCCAGGCUGCUUUCAAACUCUUGGGCUCAACCAAUCCACAUGACUCAGCCUUCAAGGUACUGGGCUUAUGGACGUGAGCCACCAUGCAAGGCUCCUUUCUUUUUUUUUUUUUUUUAAUCAAUUAUACAACAUACAGAUAUACAAUGAGGGUCCAUUUCUGUGUGAUAGGAUCUAACCCUAGUCAUAAUGGAUUUAGGGUUAGACCAUUAUGAGAGACAGGACUAGCUGGAUUUCCUAAGUUGACUAAGAAUCCCUAAGCCUAGCUGGGAAGGUGACCACAUCCACCUUCAAACAUGGGGCUUGCAACUUAGCUCACACGUGACCAAUCAGGUAGUAAAGAGAGCUCACUGAAAUGCUAAUUAGGCAAAAACAGGAGGUAAAGAAAUAGCCAAUCAUCUAUCGCCUAAGAGCACAGCAUGAGGGACAAUGAUCUGGACAUAAUCCCAGGCAUUCAGCCAGCAAUGGCUACCCUCUUUGGGUCCCCUCCCUUUGUAUGGGAGCUCUGUUUUCACUCUAUUAAAUCUUGCAACUGCACUCUUUUCUGGUCCCUGUUUGUUAUGGCUCCAGCGGUGCUUUCGCUCACUGUCCACUACUGCCUUUGCUGCCAUCACAGACCCGCUAACUUCCAUCCCUCUGGAUCUGGCAGGGUGUCUGCUGUGCUCCUGAUCCAGGGAGGCGCCCAUUGCCGCUCCUGAUCAGGCUAAAAGCUUGCCAUUGUUCCUGCACAGCUAAGUGCCUGGGUUCCUAAUUGAGCUGAACACUAGUCACUGGGUUCCACGGUUCUCUUCUAUGACCCACAGCUUCUAACAGAGCUAUAACACUCACCACAUGGCCCAAGAUUCCAUUCCUUGGAAUCCAGCUGAGAACCCCAGGUCAGAGAACAUGAGGCUUGCCACCAUCUUGGAAGCAGCCCGCCGCCAUUUUGGAAGCAGCCUGCCACCAUCUUGGGAGCUCUGGGAGCAAGGACUCCCUGGUAACACUUAGAUGUAUACUAAAUGAAUUUUGAAAUUUGGAAUGGAGGCAGGGAUAAGACAUCACUGGUGGUAAACAAAUCAAGUUAAUUCCAGCCUCCCAAAAGCAUGUGUAUGAAUGUUUUUUUGGCUGAGGCCACUAGAACUGCAGUUUUUGCUCUUCCCUGAUUACACAGUUUGUUUGUUUUUUUUUUUUUUGCAGACAAGGUCUCAUUCUGUCACCCAGGCUGGAAUGUAGUGGCAUGAUCAUAGCCUACUGCAGCCUUGACCUCCUGGGCUCAAGGGAUCCUCCCACCUCAGCCUCCAAAGUAGCUAUGACUACCGGCAUGAGCCACCAUGCCUUAUUUUUGAGUGUGUGUGUGUGUGUGUGUGUGUGUGUGUGUGUGUGUGUGUGUGUGUGUGUGAUGGAGAUGAGGUAUCCCUACAUUGCCCUGACUGGUCUCUAACUUCUGGCUUCAAGCGAACCUCUUGCUUCAGCCUCCCAAAAUGCUGGGAUUACAG
rnacentral:lncRNA from 1 species